GGAUUGUCAGACCUGGAACUCGAAGGUAAAAGCAAGGACACAAGACACGAAUUUAUACAGGUUCGGACCGCCUGAGUAGCGUAAUACCCUACGUCCUGUUUGGGGUGUUGUAUAUCGUGCCCUGCGCUUGGGUGUUGUUUGGUGUUGAACCUCUUGAUGGUUCUAAGCUUCUAUUGUCCCUGAUCUAGGUAUCCCUACCCUCCGUUAUAUACUCUAGGAGGCAGGAUAACCAGUCGGUUACAAGGAGGAGUCCUAGGAGGAUUACGUGGUAUGAGUCCUAGUAGGAUUAAAGAGGAUUCCUAGUAGGAGUCCGUCUUCUUCCUUCCUUUGUGGGUACUGGGGAUCUAUCCCCGACAAGCCCCCGAGUGCUUCAUAGUCGAAUGCAGCAGUCUUCGAGUACUUUUCAUAUCCAUUCCUUUCUACCCGAGCCAAUGGAGGACAUUUGAAAAGAGGGAACUGAAGUCAACACCAAUUACAACAAGCAGGAGUUAACAUCACCACCACCGUCUUGCCGGAAGCAAGUUGAAGAUUUGAAGGCUUUACCCUAAUCUCCCUAAUCUUACUCUAAUGAUGAUCACAAGAACCAAGAAGAUGAAGAAAGCAUGAAGAUUCUACUUGCGAUAAGCAAAGAUGAAAGACUAUCCACUCUGGCAUAAUAAUCUUGUUGCCUCCCUCCUCUUCAUUUCCUUUUCUCUCUCUUUGAAUCUGUUUGUACCUCCCACAUCCUUAUUAUCUUUCUAUCUCUCAAUUCUGAUGGACAUCAAGAAAAGAAAGUGAAGGCAACACCAAUGUCGAUAAGUAGAUGCAAUUGCCACCACUAUCGGAAUAGAAGCAAGUCGAAGAAAAGAAGGCCCUACUCCAGUUUCUUUGCUACCCUGUUGCCUUCUAUCCUCCCAUCUAUCUCACUCUGAUGACAACCUAAGAAAAGAUGAAAAUAUCAUGAAGUACUCUACCCUGUUCUUCAAUUUUGUUUAUUCUCUUCUGAUCCUAUCCUUAUCACCUAAUCAGAUGUCGAGUCUCAAUGGAAAUCAUGAAGAUAGAGCCAAUGAAGGUGACCUUAACAUUCCAUCUGUAGCCUCAUCAUUUGAACGCAAGAUGUUAGAAUAUAUGGCAACACAAACUCAGCCUUUACAAGCAAUGGCUCAAACCAUGGUCAAUAUCCAUCAAUAUAUCAUAGAGCAAGCCUCACUUCCUCGGAACUGCAACCCUAUCACCAGUGAUGACAAUCAAGUUC
rnacentral:lncRNA from 1 species